GAUGAACGCUGGCGGCGUGCCUAAUACAUGCAAGUCGAGCGAACAGACGAGGAGCUUGCUCCUCUGACGUUAGCGGCGGACGGGUGAGUAACACGUGGAUAACCUACCUAUAAGACUGGGAUAACUUCGGGAAACCGGAGCUAAUACCGGAUAAUAUAUUGAACCGCAUGGUUCAAUAGUGAAAGACGGUUUUGCUGUCACUUAUAGAUGGAUCCGCGCCGCAUUAGCUAGUUGGUAAGGUAACGGCUUACCAAGGCAACGAUGCGUAGCCGACCGGAGAGGGUGAUCGGCCACACUGGAACUGAGACACGGUCCAGACUCCUACGGGAGGCAGCAGUAGGGAAUCUUCCGCAAUGGGCGAAAGCUUGACGGGGCAACGCCGCGUGAGUGAUGAAGGUCUUCGGAUCGUAAAACUCUGUUAUUAGGGAAGAACAAAUGUGUAAGUAACUAUGCACGUCUUGACGGUACCUAAUCAGAAAGCCACGGCUAACUACGUG
rnacentral:rRNA from 1 species